rnacentral:misc_RNA from 1 species
CCACCCUCAGGCGCCUUGUGCGCCUGCCGUUGGGGCUUUUCUGCGGCCUAGCCGCAGGCCCCGAAAGCGAGUGGCGGGCUGGCUGGUCGGCUCCGAGCGCAGUAAACAUUUCUUCGCUUUGGACGCCCCGGCUUGCGCCCUGCCGUAAAAAGCCUUUUAUUUUUUAGG